rnacentral:rRNA from 1 species
GACGAACGCUGGCGGCGUGCUUAACACAUGCAAGUCGAGCGGUAAGGCCCUUUCGGGGGUACACGAGCGGCGAACGGGUGAGUAACACGUGGGUGACCUGCCUUUAGCUCUGGGAUAAGCCUGGGAAACUGGGUCUAAUACCGGAUAUGACCCUAUGGCGCAUGUUGUGGGGUGGAAAGCCUUGUGCGGCUAGGGAUGGGCCCGCGGCCUAUCAGCUUGUUGGUGGGGUGAUGGCCUACCAAGGCGACGACGGGUAGCCGGCCUGAGAGGGCGACCGGCCACACUGGGACUGAGACACGGCCCAGGCUCCUACGGGAGGCAGCAGUGGGGAAUCUUGCGCAAUGGGCGAAAGCCUGACGCAGCGACGCCGCGUGAGGGAUGACGGCC